rnacentral:tRNA from 1 species
GGGCCGUUAGCUCAGUUGGUAGAGCAGCUGACUCUUAAUCAGCGGGUCGAAGGUUCGAGUCCUUCACGGCUCACCA